ACUUAAGAGGAAUUGCCAACACAUUCUUUUUUCAGGAUUGCAGUUUUGCCUUACAAACAAUGUUUUUUUAAAGCCAGGUUAUGGGGGUGGCUGGGUGGCUCAGUCGGUUGAACGUCUGCCUUCAGUUCAGGUCAUGAACUUGGGGUCCUGGGAUCGAGCCCCACAUCGGGCUCCCUGCUCAGUGGGAAGCCUGCUUCUCCCUCUCCCUCUGCCAUUCCCCUGGCUUGUGCGCUCUGUCCCUCUGCCUCUCAAAUAAAUAAAUAAAAUCUUAAAAAAAAAUAAAUCCAGGUUAUGCAGACACAAGAGUGAAUGCUGGCUGUAUAAGGGCAAAUGUUAAAUUUAAGAGCCUUUACUGGUCAAGAAAGAUGAACAAUUCAACUUCUUGAAUCUUAUUCUCUUUGCCAUUUGAGGCUGACUCAUCCCAGCCUUCAAGGGCCGGGGCAUUUCUUAGUAUGCAUUGAACUCAUGCCAAACUAUUGUUUCACACUGUUAUUGUCUAAAAGACAACGUGUACUAGAAACGUGAAACAGGAAAUGUCCAUCUGAACUUAUUACGGUAGAAGAAAUUUUCCAGAGUCCAUAUGCUGAUGUAAUUAUUUUCAGAUUUUUUUUUAAAAAAAGCAUUUAGUGACUAGAUCUUUGGAACAAUUGUAUUCGCUGUCAUGGGCAGAGCGUCUAGCUUAUUAUCUGUCUUGUAGAAGAAUAGAGCCCUGAAAUUGCCACAAUAAUGUUUUACAAUUUUUUUGAAUUAGGUUUUAAGGAUUUUUAUUUGCUUAGUUUUGUGUGUGUGUGUGUGUGUGUGUGAAGCGCAUAUGUAUUUGAAUGUCUUAAUCUCUUAUUUUCUUUGGAGGGUCCUUAAUUUAUUUGACACUGAAUUUUUUCUCCAUCUUCAAAGUGUGUGGCACAUGCCCUAUUCCCUUCUGUUCCAGUACUAUAUUUCGUACAGUUUCCUGUAAAUAGCAGUAGAUACGGGCUGGUUGGUUCCGUGUUCUUGCAGUAUUUACAAUGGACAUUUCUCAGCAUAACUAAUCUCUUUUCAAAAUUUUGGUUGCAUUCUCAUCAACACCAAUCCGUUCCUUUGAAAUGAAUUGAAAUGCUGUACUCUUUGAAGGGAUAGGAUUAAAGCUUUAACUGGGUCUAGGGAUGAGGUGAGGGAGAAAAAGCCCCCACAAAUCUGGUAGUUUUUUUCUCCUGAGCAGUGAAGAGCAAUGAGCUGUACUCUAGAAAAGAAAGGAAACAGUAAUUAUGAGCCUUUUCCCUACAUUGUACACAGUCUUCAGUUUAGAGCAAAGUAGAAGCCGACCAGUUUUUUAGUUCUGUAGCACAGUUAAGUAAGGAUUGGAUUUAUAAGCAUCAAGAAGCAGAGGUCUUCAUUCAGUUUCUAACAGGUUGCAUUUCAUCCUUUCAAAGACCUCAAAAGCUACCAGAUUAUUGUUAAAUAAACAAAUUUGGGGAGACUACUGACCAUUAGUCAGAGGGAAGGUCCUGAGUCAUCCAAGUGUUCUCCAGCUGGUGAAGAAGUAUGUAAAAGCUCCUGGCCAGAUCUGUACAUGCUGGAGCAUCCGGAGAUCUAGUGUUUUUCUUCUAAGUCAAAUCAACUCAACAAACAUUGAGUGACUGAAUGUGCCAGAUACAAAAGAUGAAGAAGAUCAACUGUCAAGAAGCUCACAGUCUAGUGGGGAGAUGUGAUGCUGGGGCAAUUAAAACAACAGUCCAGCCAAAGCCUGAUAUGGCCAGACACCGCACUGAACAUGGAUAGUCUGCAUCUCCAGUGAGAUGUCCAAUGGGUUUCCAAAAAAAGAAGACAUGGGAUUGUUAAACUCACUGAAGAGCAACAAAAAGCUGCUUCAUCUCACCUAUCCAAUUUGGAAAACAAAGGAUUAGUUUUCACACAAAACAAAUUCAUUAAUAUAAAAUGAAAAGUAUUUCCCAUCAACAUGUCCUCUUUCUUUCAAAUGUGCUAAGUAUUAUUUCAUUUUAUAUAAUACAUCUCUGUCACUGAUAUGUCUUUCUUUUAUCUCUAUAUAACAGAAUAUUGUAUUUCAUUGUAUUUAGUUUUUCAAAUGACUUUUCAAGAACGAAACUCUCUACUGUCACUUCACCACAGGGAGAGGAUUAAUUUAAGUCUUAAAGUGUUUACUCUGAACUCAACUACCAUGGGUGGUAAAGGCUAUUUGGACAUCCUUAUGUGUAAUCCAGGCACAUGGACAAAUGAUGGAAAGGAACUGGCAGCUAGAGAUAUGUUUUACCUUCAGUGACCCAACUGCUUUCGAUACAGGGCUUUGAUAUCCAUGCUGGAUAAAAAUUAGAAUUAUUAGUUUCUAUUUGAGAGGGGAUCUGGGUGAGGAUAGAGAGGUUUGAUAUCAUAGUAUGACUAAGAAUUCUUAUGGAUGGAAACCACUUUUAAAGAUUAUUAAGGGAGUAACAUAAUAAAGUUAAAAAAAAGAUUAUUAAGGGAGAACAAGGGAAAGAAUUUAUUAUGUCUUCUUCCUUCAAAAUAGCUUUAAUGAUAGAACUUGUUCUAAGCUACAAAUAUUGAAAAACAUAUUUUAAAAGGUCUAUAUCUCUUUUAAUGAUCAGUCAUUAAUUUCUAUGACUUACUGAGUUAUUUAAAAAUGUAUGAAGUUUAAGUAUUUACCCUUCUUGCUUUGUUUCUCCUACAUGUUCAAAGUAGUACAUUCUAUAAACUUAACCUCUGUAAAAGAAAUUUAACAAUAUUAGAAGGCUCAUCAAAGCCAGGUGACAAUUAAGCGGAGUACAAUAGUAUUUUUUUCAAUCUUUGUCUUCACAUUAUGUUUGGUAAUAGAUAGACCUUCUUUCUUAUAUGCUUGUAGGUAUACUCUUAGGUCAUAGGAACAUAUGGGUUCUUAGAAUUGUACCCCAAAUACCACCAUGUUGAUACCAUUGUCAAAGAAUUUGGCUGGUAGAAUAAACUAAAGUAAGCCAAAGUUGCAUUGACAAUAAUGAAGAACCGCAAUUAAUGAACAUAGUGUUUUUGUAUUCUAUCUUCCAUUUUCUGGAAUCUCCUAUUUCCCUGGAAUUCUGUGCUUUACUAGAAAGUUUAAAUGGCUAAGAUUUCCCCUUUACCCAUUGUAUUAGCUUCCUAUGGCUGCUAUAAUAAAUUACCAGAAAAUUAGUGGCUUAAAACAGCAUAAUUUCUUCUUUUGUAACUCUGUAGGUCAGAAGGCCAAAAUUAAGUCUUACAGGCUUAAAGUCAAGGUGUCAAAGGUGUCAGCAGGAUUGGUUUCUUUUCUUUUCUUUUUUUUAAGAAUUUAUUUUUAAGUAAUCUCUACGCCCAGAAUAGGGCUCAAACUUACAUCCCUGAGAUCAAGAGUUGCAUUCUGUACCGACUGAGCCAGCCAGGUGCUCUGGGAGUAGUUUCUUCUGAACACUAAGGGAGAAUCUAUUUCCUGCCUUUUCUUGCUUCUAAAGGCUUCUUGCUCUCCUUGGCUCAUGACCCAUUACUCACAUCUCUCCAUCCUCCUGCUUCCACCAUCACAUAUCUUUGGACUGACUUUAGUCCCUCUGCUCUCUCUUAUAGGGACUCGGAUUACAUUUGACCUGCUGAGGUAAUCCAGGUUAUUCUCUCCAUCUCAGUCCUUAAUUUAAUCUCAUGGGCAAAGUCCCUUUUGCCAUAUAAACAGCAUAUUCAAGUUCUAAGGAUUAGAUUGUGGAUAUCUUAGGUUGCCCAGGGGUGGGGGAUGCGGGUGGAGGAGGACCAUAUUCAACCUUAUUGACUUACCUAUUUUUAUAUUAUUGCAUUAUAUUUUUGUAUAUUUUUUAUCACAAGGUAUUAUAACAAACUGUAUUGUUUUAAAAUCAUUCAGUUUUUAUAGGAAACAAACUGAAGGUUGCUGGAAGGGAGGUGGUGGGGGGAUGGGGUAACUGGGUGAUGGACAUUAAGGAGGACACUUGAUGGAAUGAGCACUGAGUGUUAUAUGCAACUGAUGAAUCACUAAAUUCUACCUCUGAAACUAACAAUACACUAUAUGUUAAUUAAAUUGAAUUUAAAUAAAAUAAAAUCACUCAGUUUAUAUAAUGGACAUUGUCUUUUUUUUUAAAGAUUUUAUUUAUUUAUAUUUAUUUAUCUCUCUCUCUCUUUCUUUCUUUCUUUCUCUUCCUUGAUUUUUAAAAAUUGAAGUAUAGGGGCGUCUGAAUGGCUCAGUCAAUUAAGUGUCUGCCUUCGGCUCAGGUUAUGAUCCCACAUCGGGCU